GAUUGUAACAGAUCUUUGGUUUUUCCUUUGCUGACUGCUGAUCUGAUCGUCUCAAGUCUGGUGGCCUGCUGCAGAAGCUCUCUCCCUCUAUCAUUGACAAGCCAUUCAGUCUGUCCUAUCACUCUACCCACUCUAUCUAUUUUGACAAGCCGUUCUAUCUUGCUUCACUCUAUCCCACAAGCUCUAUCUAAGUUAUCAAAAAUCGCGUUUUUAACUGGAAUCAAAUUUUGAAUGGAAUCAAGUUUUGUCUGGCGAAAUCAAGUUUUGACAUGGCCCCAUUUUUGGGAAAUUGAAGUUACCAGUACUUCAUCCAUCUGUUAUAGAAUUCUGAGAGAUCUCUGCUCUCACUGCUCCUUCUUUCCUAUCGUUAAACUCUCUCACAUCCAGUCUUUUUGCUGGAAAUUACACGUAGAAAGUUGAAAUUAAAAUAGUAGAAUUACAGUACAGUAGAAACUAUUUACACAAUUUUAAUUUUUACUUGGAACACUUUGGAAUAAAUACUGAUAGUUUGGCUUAGAGGUGCAAUUACUUGGAUACAUUAUAUAAAAUUUACACCUUAAAGGUUUUUUGUAAUAAGAUAAACUUAUUUUAUACGACACAUUCAGACUGCUGUAUUCACAAAAAUAUUAAACUAGAUAACUUCAGAUACA